rnacentral:rRNA from 1 species
CCGCGUGAGGGACGACGGCCUUCGGGUUUGUAAACCUUUUUUAGUAGGGAAGAAGCGAAAGUGACGGUACCUGCAGAAAAAGCACCGGCUAACUACGUGCCAGCAGCCGCGGUAAUACGUAGGGUGCGAGCGUUAUCCGGAAUUAUUGGGCGUAAAGAGCUCGUAGGCGGUUUGUCGCGUCUGCUGUGAAAACUGGAGGCUCAACCUCCAGCCUGCAGUGGGUACGGGCAGACUAGAGUGCGGUAGGGGAGAUUGGAAUUCCUGGUGUAGCGGUGGAAUGCGCAGAUAUCAGGAGGAACACCGAUGGCGAAGGCAGAUCUCUGGGCCGUAACUGACGCUGAGGAGCGAAAGCAUGGGGAGCGAACAGGAUUAGAUACCCUGGUAGUCCAUGCCGUAAACGUUGGGAACUAGAUGUAGGGACCAUUCCACGGUUUCUGUGUCGCAGCUAACGCAUUAAGUUCCCCGCCUGGGGAGUACGGCCGCAAGGCUAAAACUCAAAGGAAUUGACGGGGGCCCGCACAAGCGGCGGAGCAUGCGGAUUAAUUCGAUGCAACGCGAAGAACCUUACCAAGGCUUGACAUAUACCGGAAAAGUUCAGAAAUGUUCUCCCCGCAAGGUCGGUAUACAGGUGGUGCAUGGUGUCGUCAG